rnacentral:lncRNA from 1 species
GUGUGUGGGGGCUCCGGGCAAACACAUCUCACCUCCAGCCCGUUCUGAGCAAUCCAUCAGUGUGGCUGCCCCUGGAACGUGCGGGGGCACCAAGGCGGAGUUGCAGAGGCUGUUACUGAUAUGUGUCGUGGGGUGAGUCGGGGUGGGGGACGCAUAUCCCCACUCAGAACUCUGCAUCGUAGAUCCCAUGCGUCUUGACACCUUCGUCUGCUAACAUCUAGAAACCUUAGCAUUUGAGAACCUUCAGAUCCAAGGGUUCUGAGAGCUUAGAAUUGUAGGAUUUGUGAAUUCUAGAAACAAAGGCAAGAAGAUCACCCGUAGGGUGUCUCCUCUGCUCAUGCAGCCUGGAGGGACCUCUCGGUGAUCCCCGGCCGACCCCUCCCCAGCACUCAGCCCAAGAACCAGCCUCAACCACCUCCCUUCCCAGCUCAGCCUCACCUGCUGCCCAACCUGCAAUACCUCCUCCCAUCUCCCAUCCUCAGACAGCCCAUCCCUCCUGCAAGGUCCAGUCCGAAGUCGUCACCUCCCCCAGGAGGCCCACCCGUCCUCCUCAGCCCAGCCUGACUCUCAGGAUCAGGCUCACCCUGCGGAGGCUGAAGCCACCAAGUCAUAGUCCCAGUCCCAAGGGGAAGACAGGCCUGGAGCAGGGAGAGGUGUGGGCAAGAACACAGCCUCCGUCCCACAAAGAGGAGUUCAAACCCCCGCUCCAGCCCAAAUGGCCCGGGCAGUGCCCUCACUCGUCUGCUUCAGCAGCCUCACCCGACUACUCACGAUGGCUGCAGGUGGAAACUGCCCACGCAUCUCUCAGCAGCUGAAAGGAUGACUCCACAGUGGACGAUUACUCAGGUGUAAAAAGGAGCAAAGCACUGGCACAUGCGAUAAUGCGGAGGGACCUGAAGCCACCGUGCUAAGUGAAAGAAGCCAGACACGAAAGGCCACAUGGUGCUCACACCUCCAGAGAUGUCCAGAACAGGCAAAGCCAGAGACAGAGCACAGACGUGCUAGCCAGGGCUGGCUUCCUUGGAGGCUCCCAAGGAGAAUCUGUUUCCCUGCCUUUCCAGCCCCUGGGGGCCCCCCUGGACUCCAUGGCUAUGGCGGCGGGUGCCAAGGCCCUGCAGCAGGGCACGACCACCAGGACCCAUUGGGAAUUGGCAUCUGACUCCCUUCCACCACCCCGGGUGCCCCCACUUAGGAAGAGCCGACUCUCAGCAACUGUGCCCAGAGUGGCCUGGCCCAUCAACCAUGUGCCCCCUCAGCCUUCCUGCAGCCAUUCAGAGACAGCAGUAAACACUCCUCCAUCCCAGUGUGUGGGCCCAAAGCUGAGAUCCCAGCCCAGGUCUCCCAGCUCACAGCCCUGCCCAGGGCCAUCCUCCUGCUAGACGUCACCACAUCAAUGAGCAUCUACCCCGUGCAAGGAAGAGGCCGGCGAUGGGGUCCAGGUGAGGGGACAGCCAAGCCCACCAGGCGGUGGCCUUCCCUCACCUGCCCAUUCUGGGCUAGGUCAGCUCUACCUGG